CAUCACCAGCUUUCUCUCUCUUUUUUUAGGGGCUCCAUACUAAUGACUCCUGGCCCAAAUCCAGCCCCAGAAGACUUUUGUUUGUUCAGCACAGUGUUUAUGAAACAUUUGCACGUGAAUACCUUUGGGUUAUGUGGGGAUCCAAACUGUGGGAGAGAAUGAUGUUCCUUUAAUGAAGCCUUUGAAGAAACAAGACAGUCUGGAACAGAGGGAAACUCGGGCUGCAGAAUCUUCUUCUCUUUCCUUGCACAGCCUCCCACCUGGUACCCAGGAAAAGUCUUAUCAAGGAGGGAGAGUCAGUAACUCAGCCUCGAUAUCUCUCAGUGGAUAUCAAAGCUGUGCUUGGAAAGCAGGACCUCACCCCUACACUUCCACCUCUGCAUGGAGAUCACUGCCCAGGACUUGCUUACAUCACUCCCUUCACUGCCAGCCUCUCUCUGCUACCUUUCGCACUAGAUUUGAGGACCGGUGGGAUAAUUUUAACCACAUAAGGGAAGCAGGGUUAUCAGGUGGAAGAAAAUAAAAAAUCCUAACUCUCAA